AUUGAACGCUGGCGGCAUGCUUUACACAUGCAAGUCGAACGGCAGCGCGGUCUUCUUCCUGGCUGCUAGUGUCGCACGGGUGUGUAAUACAUGUGAGCAUGCCCAGCAUUACGUUAUAGCACCUCCAAAGCCGGAUUAAUACCACAGACUAGCUGAUGCUGAAAGCGGGGGGGGGAAGGGCCUCUCGCUCUUGUGGGGGCCGAUGUCGGAUUAGCUAGUUGGUUGGGGGAAGGCUUACCUAGGAGGCGAUCGGUAGAUGGUCUGAGAGGGGGACAGGCCACACUGGGAGUGAGACACGGCCCAGACUACUAAGGGAGGCAGCAGUGGGGAACUGUGGACAGUGGGGGCAAAUAUGAUCCAGCCAUGCCGCGUGCGGGAAGAAGGCCUUCGGGUUGUAAUCAGGUUUUGUGGGGGAAGAACCGCUCUGGGCUAAUACCAAGGGGGGAUGACGGUAACGGAAGAAUAAGCACCGGCUAACUACGUG
rnacentral:rRNA from 1 species